GAUGACUUUAUCCACGGCGGUGCUGACAGCAAUCAGCAGAGCUUUCUUCUGCUCCGCCAGAGCACCGCGCCGUCCCUCCGGGCCGUCCCCGUGGGGCUGCGCUGCGCCCGGAGCUCCGGCGGCGGGUGGGGAGGGCCGGGCCUCCUGAUGCGUCUCCUCUCCGUGCUCAGCCUCUCCCGACCCCCGGGGGUCCCCACCGGACCCCCCGCUCCUCCAGGUCCGCCUCUCACAGCCGGAGCGCUCCCCGGGGCGGCUCUGCAGGGGCAGCUCUGCAUCCCGCGGCCGCCCCUCUGCGAUGGGCUGCAGUGCGGGUCGGGGUCUCCUCCGUGCCUGGUGGUUCUCCGGGGGUGCUGGCAGGCGUCCCCCCGGCGCUGCGGGUGACACCCAGCUGGAGCCGUCCGACCCCCCCGGGGGUUUGGGUGGGCGCUGCGGGGCCGCCGGUUGAGCCUUGGGUUUGUUGGAGGCACUGCGGUAGCGCAGCUCUUUGAACGUGGUGACCUCUCUCUGCACGGAGCCGGGAGGCCUCACCCCCCAGUCCUGCUGGGGCUGCGUUGGGUCCCGGCCUGCGGUGCUGGGCAGGAGGUCGCUGUGGGGCGGCAGCUCCGUGUCGGGCGAGAAAACGAUCAGCCAGUCGCUUCGGUCCACCCUGGCUGGGAUGGGAGCGGGCCCGGAGGGGAUCUUCUUCCUCUUCUGGGCGAGCUCGUGGAAGGAGGUGAUGUUCUUCUUGGCCGCAUCUCUGCAGAGCUCAGCGCUGGGCUCGGGCGCUGCCGGCCUCGCGGGCAGGGCUGGCCGCUCUGCUCCGUGCCCGUUGAGGAGCUGCAGCCGCCUCUUGGGCCGCGGUGGGACGGGGGGGGGACGGCGCUCAGCCUCGGCCGCGGUUCGGGAGCGCCGCUCGGGCUCUGCUCCCAGCAGCACGGCACGGCCGGUGCCACAGCGGGGUCGGGCAGGGGGUUGCAGUUGGGGUCGAGGUCGACGGAGCCGUCUGCGUUCUGCCGCACGGCUGCGCCGGGAGAGGUUUCGUCGUACUGUGAGUCGAGCGAGCUGCUGCUGCAGAGGCUGUCGGGGCUGUCUCCGGUGAGGUUCUGCUCUCCCUGCGGCGCUGCCGGGUUGAGGUCGGCGUCUCUUUCGCCGCCCGUCGCGGGCAGCAGCCGUCCGUCGUGGGCAUCUUCUGCGGGAACGGCGCCGGGCGGCUCUGUGGGGGAUUGGGACCCUUCUGCCGAGAACCCUCUGUAGUACACAGACACCGGCGACUCAUCCAGGCUGAAAUCCGAGCAGCUGCUGACCGACGAGGAGGUGGAAGGCGGAUCAGAGGGGGAAACCACCUCCUCCCCAUCCUGCAGGCGGGGCAAAUCCACCGCCGGAGCCGCCUGGUUCUGCAGGCCCAGCGUCAGGGGCAGCUCGGCGUGGGAUUCGCAGCAGUGGCAUUUCAAGGAGGGACUGUUGGAAUUGGCGUCCACCUGCUCACAGCUCUCCCGACAGCUGCUGCAGCGCUUCUGGUCCCCGCUCCCCGCCGUGUCCUGGAGCUCCGGGUGCCGGGAGAGGUGCAGCCCCAGGGAGAUGUGCUGCAGGUGGAUGUGGUUGAGGUUGCACAGCAGCCCUUUCUUCGGGGCCAGCAUGACGCCGCCCUGCUGGGAGCGGCGGGGCUCCUCGCAGAGCCGCACGGCGGUUCCGCUCACACCAUCCGGCUCCUCCCGACGCCGAGGGCCCUCCGGUGCCGUGACAGCAGCGCAGACCUGCAGGAGAACCGACACGGAGCGGGGAUGCGGCCGCUGAGCCGGGAUGCGCGGAGCCGGGAUGGGCUGCGGGGAUGGGCGCGGGGCCGCAGCGCUGGGAUCGCUCUGCCGGGCGGGGAGCGGCUCCGAGACGCCGUCAAGGAGAAAACGCCCUUGAAACGUCAACCGGAGCCGCCGCCGUCCUCCGGCCGCGGGAGAGGAGCGCCGGGGGGGCUCUGAGGACGGAGCAUCGCCGGGCGGGCGGAGGUCCGGACCACGCGGGAGGACCCCACGGCCGCAGCCGUCACCGCAGCGUGCCGCAUUGCUCCGAGCAUCCCAGCGCCGCGGCGCAGCGCUCCGGGCGGUUCGUGCCCGCACGGGGCCCCAUCCUCGGGACAAACCCCCCCCCCAAAGCCGGGCUCUGAGACCACCGCUCCCGCAGCCCCGGAACCCGCAGGGGAACCCCAACCCCGACGCCCCCCUCCCCCUUCCAGCCCCGCUCACCGCUCCGCGCUGCGGCGGCUCCGGGCGCUGAAUGCGGCGGGGAGGGGCCGCACCGAACCGCCCGCCCCGCUGAGCGCAGCCCCCGUCGGAAGGGGGGGGGGGGG
rnacentral:lncRNA from 1 species